CGUGGGAAUAUGCCUUUCGGUGCGGAACAACCAUUGGAAACGAUGGCUAAUACCGCAUACGCCCUGAGGGGGAAAGAUUUUAUCGCCGAGAGAUUAGCCCGCGCUAAAUUAGCUAGUUGGUAAGGUAAAGGCUUACCAAGGCUACGAUUUAUAGCUGGUUUGAGAGGAUGAUCAGCCACACUGGGACUGAGACACGGCCCAGACUCCUACGGGAGGCAGCAGUGGGGAAUAUUGGACAAUGGGGGCAACCCUGAUCCAGCCAUGCCGCGUGAGUGAAGAAGGCCUUAGGGUUGUAAAACUCUUUCAGCAGGGAAGAUAAUGACGGUACCUGCAGAAGAAGCUCCGGCUAACUCCGUGCCAGCAGCCGCGGUAAUACGGAGGGAGCUAGCGUUGUUCGGAAUUACUGGGCGUAAAGCGCGCGUAGGCGGAUGAAUAAGUUGGGGGUGAAAGCCCGGGGCUCAACCUCGGAACUGCCCUCAAAACUGUUCAUCUAGAAUCCUGGAGAGGUG
rnacentral:rRNA from 1 species